GAAGAGAAGAGAAGAGAAGAGAAGAGAAGAGAAGAGAAGAGAAGAGAAGAGAAGAGAAGAGAAAUGAAAAGAGAAAAGAAGAGAGAAGGACAGAUGAGCUAAUAAAAAUUGUAUUAUUUAUCUUGAAAAAAUAAAUGCCAGAAUCCUGGCUAAGUAGGGAAAAGGGUAUAUAUAUUUUUUUAAGUCUUCAUUGUAAUAGCUGCUGUCUCUUCUCCAUACCAGUUCCAGAAUCACAGAAUCACCAAAUGUCAGGGUUUGGAAGGAGCCUUGAAAGAUCAUGUUGUCCAAUCCUCCCGCUUUAGCCGGAAUGCCUUGAUCAGGUCACUCAGGAAUGUGUCCAGGCAGGUUUUGAAUGUCUCCAGAGAAGGAGACUCCACAACCUCUCUGGGCAGCCCGUUGCAGUGUUCUGUUACCCUCACCAUGAAGAAGUUUCUUCUCAUAUUUUUGUGGAACCUCCUAUGUUCCAGCUUGCAGCCAUUACCCCUUGUCCUAUCACUGGAUGUCACUGAGAAGAGCCUGGCUCCAUCCUUCUGAUGCACACCCUUUGCAUAUUUAUAAAUGUUAAUGAGGCCACUUCUCAGUCUCCUCCAAGCUAAAGAGACCCAGCUCCGUCAGCCUUUCCUUGAAAGGGAGAUGCUCCAGUCCCUUCAUCAUCUUUGUGGCUCUGCGCUGGAUUCUCUCAAGCAGUUCCCUGUCCUUGAAUGGAGGGGCCCAGAACUGGACGUAAUACUGCAGAUGCGGUCUCACCAGGGCAGAGUAGAGGGGGAGGAGAACCCUUUUCGGCCUACUAACCACACCCCUUCUCAUACACCCCAGGAUGCCCUUGGCCUUCUUGCAGUGCUGGCUCAUGGUCACCCUGCUGUCCACCAGAACCCCCGGGUCCCUUUUCCCUCGGCUGCUCUCCAACAGCUCCGUCCCCAACCUGUACUGGUGCCUGGUGUUGUUCUUGCCCAGAUACAAGUCUCUACGCUUGCCCUUGCUGUAUUUCAUUUAAUUUCUCUGUGCCCAACUCUCCAGCCUGUCUAGGUCUUGCUGGGUGGCAGCACAGCCUUCUAGCGUGUCAGCCACUUCUCCCAGUUUUGUGUCAUCAGCAAGCUUGCUAACGGUGCACUCUACUCCCUCACCCAAAUCGCUGAUGAAUAUAUUGAAUAGUACUGGUCCCAGUACCAACCCUUGAGGAACUCCACUAGGUACAAGUCUCCAGCUAGACUCACUCUGUCCCACUGACCACAACUCUCUGGCUUCUUUCCUUCAGCUGGUUCACAGGCCACCUCACUGCUCAAUCAUCCAGACCACACUUCCUCAGUUUAGCUGCGGGGAUGCCGUGGGAGACGGUGUCAAAUGCUCUACUAAAAUCAAGAUAGACCACAUCCACUGCCUUACCAUCAUCUACCCACCUGGUUACCUCUUCA
ensembl:lncRNA